rnacentral:rRNA from 1 species
AUGCUGAAAUCUUACAUGCCGCCUGCGAGCCGAAUGCAUGUUUUCGUCCGGCAAUACACGAGACUUCAAUUUGACCGGGAACGCGACGAAAGCUACGAGGAAAAGAGGACCAUGAUUGGAGGCGCCGUCCGGCGGACUAACCUUGCGAUUGAGCGGCACGCCAGCAAAAUAUAUACCAGGAAUAUGUUUGAGGAAUUUGGCCGGCUGCUUUUAGAAGGGACGGCAUACAACGUCACUGAAGUUGAGAGGAUGAAGAAAUACAUCACAACACACAAUAAUGCAGCGAAGAGAGAGAAGUGGAGCAGAGUGGAAUAUGAGGUGACCAUCAACGAUGACAAAUCAAUAUUCACGUGCGAGUGUGGUCAGUUUGAACACACAAGGAUGCUUUGCUGCCAUGCCUUAAGGGUGAUGGAGAUUCUACAUUUGGACGAGAUUCCGAAGCACCAUAUCCUUAAACGGUGGACAAGAGACGCAAGGGAUAUACUCCCAGAUCACCUGGUUCAGUACCAGAAGGACAAAGCACAUAAUUUGUCUUUCACAUGCAGACACGCGAGGCUAUACUUUAAGGCCAUGGAGGUAGUGCGAAUGGGGGACGCAAGCACUGCAUGCUAUGAGCACAUGCAUGCCGGCCUGGAUUCUCUUCUACGUUCUGGAGCACCUCUGGCGGUCACAAGGGACGGUUUGGCUUUCGAGGAUCGUCUCAUUCAAAAUGGAAAUGGCUGUCAGGCUGCGAAUGGCGAGCCUGCUUUGGUUGAUCAUGGAGCUGAACCAUGCCACAGUGCUGCGAAUUCUGUAAAUGUGAAUGCCCUGCAGUGCCUCGAGGCGCCAGACAAGCGUAGAGGUGCUGGCAGGCCGACGAACUGUAGGGAGAAGGCCCCGUACGAAGGGCUGAGUAAGAGAACCAGGUUCUGCAGCAUUUGCUGCCGUGAGGGCCACAAGAGGACCACAUGCCCAGGGAGAGGGGAUGCGCCAAAGAAGCCGCGGAAACCCGGCAGAUGCAAGAACUGCAGCAUAGAAGGGCAUCGGCGGGAUACAUGCAAGAGACCUCUUAGGUUUGCCGAGAGCUGA